rnacentral:lncRNA from 1 species
AUUACAUAAGGGAUGCUACACCUAAGCUAUUAGACAAGGACCCAACUAUACAAGUGAAAACACAAGUAGAUAAGAUAGUGAACCAUAAGUUCUUUCCUGUAGAAUGGAAGCAUAAAAAGAAUUUAGCACCAGCAAGCCCACAUCUAUUUGUUUACGUCAAAACCCACAAGCAACCAGUAAAACCAAGACCCAUUGUCGAAAAAAGAUCAGCCCCACCUAUAAUCUUGAAAGAACUAUAGCAAAAUGGUGCACCAGAAUAUUGGGACAAACUGAAUACUCCACUACAGUAACGAAGGAAGUCCUACAAAGGCUUAAAAACAUCACUUAACAGCCUGAAGACGUAAUGGCAGUAUUCAAUUUCGAAAACCUAUACCCUUCAUUGAGACUCGAACCAGUUUGCGUAGCUUUAUACCACUUUAUGUUGGAAGACAUACAGGGAGCAGAAGAAAGAGCACACAUACUCAGAGAAACUGCAUAUCUUCUAUGCUACAAAUCAUAUUUUACAUUCAGAACCAGAUUUUACCAGCAAACGAGAGGAGUCCUAUAGGCAGCCCCUUAGUGGCACCUAUGGUCGAAAUAGUCUUAAGUAAUGUGGAGAGCCAGGUGAUACAAAGAUAUACCCCAACUUUAAAAAAAAUACAUAAGAUACAUAGAUGAUGUAACGACAGUUUGGACAAAUCAGAAUAACAUGGAAGAGUUUCAGCAAGCCCUAUCACAUGAAGAUCAUGGUCUAAAGAUCAAAUUAUUAACAUUGGAUAACAGCACUUUGGCGCAGUUCUGGGAGGCACUUAUGUUUUAGUGAUUGGACGUGCAAACGUUUUCGGCCUCUCAGCCAUCCUCAGGUUUCGUUCUGUAGUACAG